UUCCAUUACCCCUCUCCCUCUCAGCCGCCAGUCCGCCACCAGCUAGGGUUUCCUUUGUUCCUACCUCGAGCUCCGCUCUAGUGAAAUCCCUAUAUCUCGUCCAUCUCCGGCGAGGACAAUGCCCCCAAAGACGUCUCUACUCUGAAUCCCAAACUAUCUAUUCCUGCACCACUACGUCGAGCUGCAUCUGCGCGCACAGACCAGCAUUUGCGCGCGUUAUCCCACGCAUCCCGGCGAGCCGUAGCAGCAGGGCCUUGACGGCCAUGAGCGAGGGCGAUACAACCGCAAUGCCCUACUCUACCUUCUGUAUGCCCUACCCCUCGUUUGUUCUCCUGUUCUUACUUAUAAUCUAAACGUAGAUGUAGAUAUAGAAGUGCAUUUCAGUUGGCUUUACGCCUCCCUGGAUUGCAGAUCGUCGUUCAACUUGGCGGUGUCACCAUGUUCAAUCUCCUCAGAUAUACACAAAUAGUAGUUCUUAUGUACGUACUCAUCUAGCUUGUUUCUCCGUUUCAGGGAUUUGCCUGGUGAGGAAAAACCAUCUUCCUAUAUGUAUGACGCUUCGCAACCCGAGGAGUAUGAAAAAAAAAACUUUUGCCUCUUUCGUUUUCUGUUUCUCCAUCUAGUUGAAAUCCCAUGUGUUUAUAUCUAACAUAGCAUACAAUCGUUCUUCUACUCAUUGACCGAGCCUACUCACUCAAGGGUUCCAAUGUCUUAUGACACAAACCAUGUUCUGGCCUUGAGAGAUCCUGGUCUGCCUACACCAGUUUAUGUUAGAAUGGAUAGUUCAGAAGUAUUUUACACAUAUCCUACUCUGGUGAUAAGCCGUUCCAGAGCCUUGAUGAAGUUUCCAGUGCUGUUGUUUCCUCUGCUUGUCCCAAUAGCAAUGCCAUGUAAUGUUCCGAUCUCUCUCAAAAGAAAAUCGUUUACCUUCUCUGAAGAACGAACAUCUAUUAAUCAUAUGCUCUGAUCUAAAAUUAGGUCUGAUGAGAUACUUUCAAACAUCGAACGUAUUAUACAUGAACAUCUUUUCUGGCCAGAUGGAACGAGGAAGGUCUGCACAAGGGCUCAAGUAGCCAAGAGGGAACAUGACAAUGUUCGGAGACUGGUUGAAGCUUUACUGGACAAGCAUAACGACACCGAGG
rnacentral:lncRNA from 1 species